CAAUAUCAAGAAUCCAAAAUAACACAGAAACCGCAAAAGAUGUGCAAAAGCAAAAUUCCCAAACAACACGAAAACUAAAGAAAAUAUGAAAAGGCAAAAAUUAAGGUUGGAGGACUAGGUUAGGUCAAUUGCCUGGGAGCUACUAACAAAAAAUAUCAAGACUCAUUGGGCCAAAUGCUUGCUUUCCCUGUUGCAGACCUCUCAUCGAUCAAAGUCUGGUGUUGUUAUUGGGCCUCCAGUAUGGUUAAAGACCCGGGCUACCAUCUACAGUCUCAACAUAUAAGUUGUGGGCCUAGAUCGGGAUUUUGCUCAUCUCUUG
rnacentral:lncRNA from 1 species